CGCACGGGUGAGUAACACGUAUCCAACCUGCCGUCUACUCUUGGACAGCCUUCUGAAAGGAAGAUUAAUACAAGAUGGCAUCAUGAGUCCGCAUGUUCACAUGAUUAAAGGUAUUCCGGUAGACGAUGGGGAUGCGUUCCAUUAGAUAGUAGGCGGGGUAACGGCCUACCUAGUCUUCGAUGGAUAGGGGUUCUGAGAGGAAGGUCCCCCACAUUGGAACUGAGACACGGUCCAA
rnacentral:rRNA from 1 species